UAUGGCCAUAUCACAUUGAAACACUAGUUUCUGUACGAUCACUGAAAUUAAGCAAUGUCGAGCUUGGUCAGUACCUAGGUGGGUGACUGCUUGGGAAUACCAGAUGCUGUAAU